AUUGAACGCUGGCGGCAGGCCUAACACAUGCAAGUCGAACGGCAGCACAGAAGAGCUUGCUCUUUGGGUGGCGAGUGGCGGACGGGUGAGUAAUGUCUGGGAAACUGCCCGAUGGAGGGGGAUAACUACUGGAAACGGUAGCUAAUACCGCAUAAAGUCGCAAGACCAAAGUGGGGGACCUUCGGGCCUCACACCAUCGGAUGUGCCCAGAUGGGAUUAGCUAGUAGGUGGGGUAAUGGCUCACCUAGGCGACGAUCCCUAGCUGGUCUGGGAGGAUGACCAGCCACACUGGAACUGAGACACGGUCCAGACUCCUACGGGAGGCAGCAGUGGGGAAUAUUGCACAAUGGGCGCAAGCCUGAUGCAGCCAUGCCGCGUGUAUGAAGAAGGCCUUCGGGUUGUAAAGUACUUUCAGCGGGGAGGAAGGCGGUGAGGUUAAUAACCUCGCCGAUUGACGUUACCCGCAGAAGAAGCACCGGCUAACUCCGUGCCAGCCGCCGCAGUAA
rnacentral:rRNA from 1 species